rnacentral:rRNA from 1 species
GUACUGUGCGAACGUUAUUCGGAAUCACUGGGCUUAAAGGGUGCGUAGGCGGCCGUUCAAGUCGGGUGUGAAAUCUCUCGGCUCAACCGAGGAAUUGCGCUCGAAACUAGACGGCUUGAGUAAGAUAGGGGUGUGUGGAACUUCCAGUGGAGCGGUGAAAUGUGUUGAUAUUGGAAGGAACGCCGGUAGCGAAAGCGACACACUGGGUCUUAACUGACGCUGAGGCACGAAAGCCAGGGUAGCGAACGGGAUUAGAUUCCCCGGUAGUCCUGGCUGUAAACGUUGAGCACUAGACGGGAGGGACUUCGGUUCAUCCGGUCGCAGCGAAAGCACUAAGUGCUCCGCCUGGGGAGUAUGGUCGCAAGGCUG